rnacentral:rRNA from 1 species
UGGGGAAUUUUGGACAAUGGGCGCAAGCCUGAUCCAGCCAUGCCGCGUGCGGGAAGAAGGCCUUCGGGUUGUAAACCGCUUUUGUCAGGGAAGAAAUCUUCUGAGUUAAUACCUCGGGAGGAUGACGGUACCUGAAGAAUAAGCACCGGCUAACUACGUGCCAGCAGCCGCGGUAAUACGUAGGGUGCAAGCGUUAAUCGGAAUUACUGGGCGUAAAGCGUGCGCAGGCGGUUUUGUAAGACAGAGGUGAAAUCCCCGGGCUCAACCUGGGAACUGCCUUUGUGACUGCAAGGCUUGAGUGCGGCAGAGGGGGAUGGAAUUCCGCGUGUAGCAGUGAAAUGCGUAGAUAUGCGGAGGAACACCGAUGGCGAAGGCAAUCCCCUGGGCCUGCACUGACGCUCAUGCACGAAAGCGUGGGGAGCAAACAGGAUUAGAUACCCCUGGUAGUCCACGCCCUAAACCGAUGUCAACUGGUUGUUGGGAAGGUUCCUUCUCAGUAACGUAGCUAACGCGUGAAGUUGACCGCCUGGGGAGUACGGCCGC